GUAUUUAGUUACAAAUUUUCACAUUCACUGACUGAUGUGGGUUUGAGAGUAGCCACCGCAAGGGCAGCGUGAGUGUGCACUCUACCAGCAGAUGCUGGCAAAUUCAAUGAUGAUCCUUCCGCAGGUUCACCUACGGAAA
rnacentral:misc_RNA from 1 species